rnacentral:rRNA from 1 species
UCGAGCGCAGGCAUCUGGGGGCAACUCCGAGGUGUGCUGAGCGGCGAACGGGUGAGUAAUACGUANAUAACCUACCUCUAGGUCCGGGAUAAACCCCGGGAAACUGGGGCUAAUACCAGAUAAGACCACGAUUUCUAAGGAAGUUGAGGUAAAAAAUGGCUAGGCAACUGGCUAUCGCCUAGGAACGGGUUUACGUCCCAUCAGGUAGUUGGUGAGGUAAUGGCUCACCAAGCUUAAGACGGGUAGCUGACCUUAGCGGGUAACCAGCCACACGGGAACUGAGAUACGGUCCUGACUCCUACGGGAGGCAGCAGUGGGGAAUAUUGGGCAAUGGGCGAAAGCCUGACCCAGCGACGCCGCGUGGGGGAUGAAGGUCUUCGGAUCGUAAACCCUUGUCAGGAGGGAUGAUGGGUCUGUGGGCUAAUAUCCCAUAGAUUUGACAGUACCUCCAGAGGAAGCCCCGGCUAACUCCGUGCCAGCAA